rnacentral:rRNA from 1 species
AUUGAACGCUGGCGGCAGGCCUAACACAUGCAAGUCGAACGAGUGGCGGACGGGUGAGUAAUGUCUGGGAAACUGCCUGAUGGAGGGGGAUAACGACUGGAAACGGUAGCUAAUACCGCAUACCAUCAGAUGUGCCCAGAUGGGAUUAGCUAGUUGGUGGGGGAACGGCUCACCAGAGAGAAGAUCCCUAGCUGGUCGGAGAGGAUGACCAGCCACACUGUAACUGAGACACGGUCCAGACUCCUACGGGAGGCAGCAGUGGUGAAUAUUGCAAAAUGGGCGAAAGCCUGAUACAGCCAUGCCGCGUGUAUGAAGAAGGCCUUCGGGUUGUAAAGUACUUUCAGCGGGGAGGCGUUACCCGCAGAAGAAGCACCGGCUAACUCCGUGCCAGCAGCCGCGGUAAUAC